rnacentral:rRNA from 1 species
UACGGAGGGGGCUAGCGUUGUUCGGAAUUACUGGGCGUAAAGCGCGCGUAGGCGGACCUGCAAGUCGGGGGUGAAAGCCCGAGGCUCAACCUCGGAACUGCCUUCGAUACUGCGGGUCUCGAGUCCGGGAGAGGUGAGUGGAAUUCCUAGUGUAGAGGUGAAAUUCGUAGAUAUUAGGAAGAACACCAGUGGCGAAGGCGGCGCUCUGGGCCGGUACUGACACUGAGGAGCGAAAGCGUGGGUAGCAAACAGG